GGGUCACCGAGCUGAAUUUCAACGGAAUUUGAUAAACUUCGUAAUUUUUUUACACCUAGUUGCACGAGAAAUGGGAUUAAGUUCGUGAAAGCUAAAUCUACGAAACUACAAGCAAGUGAAACAGAUAGCAUUGAACUCAGUAUAUGCAAUGAGAAU